rnacentral:rRNA from 1 species
AGCGAACGCUGGCGGCAGGCUUAACACAUGCAAGUCGAACGCCCGUAGCAAUACGGGAGUGGCAGACGGGUGAGUAACACGUGGGAACGUGCCCUUCAGUUCGGAACAACCCAGGGAAACUUGGGCUAAUACCGGAUACGUCCGUAAGGAGAAAGAUUUAUCGCUGAAGGAUCGGCCCGCGUCUGAUUAGCUAGUUGGUGAGGUAACGGCUCACCAAGGCGACGAUCAGUAGCNGGUCUGAGAGGACGAUCAGCCACACUGGGACUGAGACACGGCCCAGACUCCUACGGGAGGCAGCAGUGGGGAAUCUUGGACAAUGGGCGCAAGCCUGAUCCAGCCAUGCCGCGUGAGUGAUAAGGCCUUAGGGUUGUAAAGCUCUUUCGGUGGGGAAGAUAAUGACGGUACCCACAAGAAGAACGCCCCGGCUAACUUCGUGCCAGCCGCCGCGGUAA